rnacentral:rRNA from 1 species
CUACGGGAUGCACCAGUGAGGAAUAUUGGUCAAUGGGCGCGAGCCUGUACCAGCCAUCCCGCGUGCAGGAUGACGGCCCUAUGGGUUGUAAACUGCUUUUCUAUGCCAAGAAACCUGAUUACGUGUAAUCAGUUGCCGGUAGCAUAGGAAUAAGCAUCGGCUAACUCCGUGCCAGCAGCCGCGGUAAUACGGAGGAUGCAAGCGUUAUCCGGAUUCAUUGGGUUUAAAGGGUGCGCAGGUGGGCUUGUAAGUCAGUGGUGAAAUGCUGCCGCUUAACGGUAGAACUGCCAUUGAUACUGCGAGUCUUGAGUAUGGUUGAGGUAGGCGGAAUGUGUUGUGUAGCGGUGAAAUGCAUAGAUAUGACACAGAACGCCAAUUGCGAAGGCAGCUUACUAAGCCAUUACUGACGCUGAGGCACGAAAGCGUGGGGAGCGAACAGGAUUAGAUACCCCGGUAGUC